GGAAACAGAUGCUAAUACCGGAUAACAANAGAUGAUGCCUAUCAACUGUUUAAAAGAUGGUUCUGCUAUCACUCUUGGAUGGACCUGCGGUGCAUUAGCUAGUUGGUAGGGUAACGGCCUACCAAGGCGAUGAUGCAUAGCCGAGUUGAGAGACUGAUCGGCCACAUUGGGACUGAGACACGGCCCAAACUCCUACGGGAGGCAGCAGAA
rnacentral:rRNA from 1 species